rnacentral:rRNA from 1 species
GAUGAACGCUGGCGGCGUGCCUAAUACAUGCAAGUCGAGCGAACAGACGAGGAGCUUGCUCCUCUGACGUUAGCGGCGGACGGGUGAGUAACACGUGGAUAACCUACCUAUAAGACUGGGAUAACUUCGGGAAACCGGAGCUAAUACCGGAUAAUAUAUUGAACCGCAUUGUUCAAUAGUGAAAGACGGUUUUGCUGUCACUUAUAGAUGGAUCCGCGCCGCAUUAGCUAGUUGGUAAGGUAACGGCUUACCAAGGCAACGAUGCGUAGCCGACCUGAGAGGGUGAUCGGCCACACUGGAACUGAGACACGGUCCAGAGUCCUACGGGAGGCAGCAGUAGGGAAUCUUACGCAAUGGGCGAAAGCCUGACGGAGCAACGCCGCGUGAGUGAUGAAGGUCUUCGGAUCGUAAAACUCUGUUAUUAGGGAAGAACAAAUGUGUAAGUAACUAUGCACGUCUUGACGGUACCUAAUCAGAAAGCCACGGCUAACUACGUG